rnacentral:lncRNA from 1 species
CAGUAGUCAAAUGCCCCUGAAUUCAAUCCCCAAUACCCAAAACAAAACAAGAGUGGGCAUGAGGUGGAGAUUUAAAGCUGGAAGGAAAAGCUGAAAAAUAAGGGUCAUUCAUUUUUUAAGCACUAUCCAGUGCCGUCCCCACCAAAUCCUUCUGCGACUAGUUUCAGAAUCCAAGGGAGAUCUGGCAGCCAGGGGCUGUUCUCUAUCAGUGACUCUGAGUGUAAAGAGAGGCAGGAGGAGAAGCAAGGAAAGAAUAAGUGGAGGGAAGGGCUAUGCCCAGAGGGCCUAAGAAAACUUAGAGGUGAACACACACUUUUAUAUUAAAGUCGUUAGCAUCCAGCGUUCUGUAAACCAUAUUUCAGCACAUUACCAUCACGUCUUCCCUGAUGAUCUGGCUUUCUGUUUUUACAGGUGUUUGAUGGGAGUGGAUCGUUUUUGUCCUACAUUAACACAUCUGCUGACCCACUCUACGGCCCCCAAGGCCUAGCCCUAACUUCAGACGGCCAUGUUGUGGUUGCAGACUCUGGAAAUCACUGUUUCAAGGUCUAUCGAUACCUACAGUAACGGUGGCCAGCCAGAUGUCCCCUCAAGACGGUCUUGCACUAUAAACUGGAAUGGAUUUCUCCACCCGGGACCAGAUUAUGACUAGACUUUUCAUGCUAGAAGGAAUCUUUGAUGAACUUUCCAUGGUUAUUUCUGAAUGUAACAGUUUCCUUAAAAAACUGCUCAUCCAAUUUCUAGAAUUCACCAUUAGGGUUUAAAAAAAAAAAGUCUUCUACUGAAUAUACAAACUGCGAAGUUUUACACCUGUGAACUAUGGCUUAUAGGACAGGGAUUUAUGUAGUUAAAUUAAUUUUGCAAAUCAAACAAACAUUAAACAAAAACUAGCAUAUGUAAAAAUAUUUGUUAAUCCUGUGAAUGAUAGCCUUUGAGCAGAGCUUCCAAAAACAAAUUCUGUCGUCCUUAUAUACUUUAUUUAACCCAGGUCAAAAGGCCUGCGGAACCUUCUAACCUCACUUUUACAGUAUGUUUUUUAUUUCUUUCUUUCCUUCUUUGGGGGGGUGGGGGAGCUGGUAAUCGACAACUACAUAUUACUUACUUCAAAAAAAAAAAAAAAAUUGAGGCUGUCUUGCAAAAUCCUCCCAGCUCUGAUUUGCAGACAACACUUGAGAGUCAAUGCAGAUUUCCCAGCCUUUCUGGGUUAGAUCAAAGAUCCUUUCUGUCUGUUCUUCUUACCUUCUCUUUCCUACUCACCUGGUAUCAGAAAACAAAGUACAUUUUCUGAGAAACCUGAAAAUCUCUGAUGCUUUGAAAAAUCAUCUUACAGAAGUAAUACUACCUUUCAGUCAACGAAUAGCCCCAUUAACUCCAGAUGAAUAUACUGGAACGUAAUCAAGAAAAGGUCACGUUUUAUCUGUGCCAUGUUUUCACAUGUGUCUUUCUUUCCUCUUCCACUUCAUGAAAGCAAGAGCUUUACCUUCUGCAAAAUGUCAGCACAUGUAGUAGGACACCAGUAUCCUAGGACAGAGAGCCAUAAGCAGCCCUUUGGAGGACCGAUGGUGUCAACCAAAGGCAUGUGGAUUGAUUAAUGAUUUCCCCUUAGCGAGUGUUACCAAAGUUCUGUUAUCUCGAGAGCAUUACAGGUAAGAGCAUGUUAUGGUUAUUUAUCAUUGUUCAAUGAAUAGUAGAGGUAUCAAGGGACUAUGUAUACAUGAUUAGGGUAAGAUAGAAUGUAUAAUAUAAAUAUAUAUAUAGCUUUGGUGUAUUGAAAUAGGCAGCACUCUGAAAGACAGAAGCAUUCUGUCCAGCCAUUCUUCAGCACAUUCCUUUACUAAUGCAGCUUAAGCCGUCCUUGUGGAGCAAGCCCUAACACAGGUUUGAUGUUUGCCAUUUCCCGGGAAUGAUGGUGGUGGCUGAUCAUCUUGUGUUUUCAAAAGAGCAGAAAAAUAAGAAAAACAGGUCAAAAUAAAAGUUGAACUGGACUUACAUCUGAACUAAGUAUAAAUGCAUUUUGAGAAAUGUUAAGAACAAUUUAGUCAAUCUUGUCACUGAUACUGUAAAAUAAGAUGCAGUCUGUUUCCACUGUUUAAUUUUCUACUCAGUUCUACCAAACAGGAUGUCAUGUUUGAUGUUUUCAAUAAUGACUUUGGGAUCUUUUUCAUUAAAAGCACCUUAGAACUUGUACUAUAAGAAAACAUUUCCUGUAUGUAUUAUUAUAUGAAUGUGAUGCUUAUUGCUUAUUAAUUUAAAAUUCAGCCAUCGUCUAUAUAGGACUUUUUAAAAUUUGGAAGGGAAUCUAGCAACUUCCAGUUGCCCAUUAAAUUUAUUAUGCCCAGAUCAGCUCUGAAAAAAAAAAAAAAAAGCUUUUUCAGAAAGAGAAACAUUAAGGUUUAGUAUUUUUUAAUUUUUUUUUAAUUUUUUAGUUUUUGAAUUAUCAAGUCUAUGUGAUGAAGUUAUAAAAUCCAAUAAAAUUUUUAGAAUGUUAAACUAAGACAUUGUUUGUUUCCUAAUGCCAGUGAAAUAAGUCUUUGAUUUUUUUUUUAAAUUUUUUUCUUGGUGCUGGAAAUUGCAAAUGUAAGCGCCAGUUCUACCACUGAGCUGCACCUGCAGCCCAAGUCUUUGAAUUGAAAUGUUCCUAUUUACAGAGUCCCUUCUAGGUUCUAGGCACUCUUCUAGGCACUGGGAAUAGACUAAUAGAUAAAACAAACAAAAACAUCCCUGUCCCCUCAGAGUUUACAUCCUGGGGAAAGGAAUUUCAUUUUGCCAUUUACUAUAAAAUGUUCUGCCUAAAAGGGAGGCUAGACUCUUAAUAGUUCCUGGACUAUUUAAAAGAAAACCUUUUAAAUUGGUUGUUAAUUUUAGUUUAUUUUCAUAAAAGUAUUUUCAUAAGUGUAAAUGGCUUCCUAUUUAAAUUCUAUCACAGACUGUUGGGGUUUUUUGUUUGUUUGUUUGUUUCUCUGGCUUUGCAGUGCUGGGGACUGAACCAGGGCCUUGACAUACUAGGUAAAUGCUCUACCAUUGAGCUACAUCCCCAGCCCUAGACUAUUGAUUUUAAAACUAGUUUACCUACAGAGGGUUUUUUUUUUUUUCUUUUUCUUUUUUUUGAAGUAUUUGUGAACUUAGAAAUGAAUUUAAAAAUUAAUCAGCCGCCAUCAUAUCAUAUCAGGCCAAGUAUCUAAAUACAUAGUUAAUUUAUUUCCAUGUCAAUUUUGGCACAAACUGGAAUGGAAUAUAGAUAGUUUGAUUUGGACCUGUUCCACUGUCUCUUAACUAAACCUAUACUAUGGGCACUCCAGGAAACACUAUAUUUUUCCCCCAAAAUAUGUAAUCAUAUAUAUUAAAAUAUAGAUAACAUUUCAUACCUGGAUACAUAUGUGCAUUUACUGUAUUUCUGGUGAGCAUAUUUGGGGGAGAAAGUGCUGCUGAUAAGAUACAAAUAGAUAAGAUUUAAAUGAAAUUUUGUCACAUUCUAUGGAAAAUGGUUUCUGGUAAACUGAGAAGGAUAUUAAAAUAAGUGGCUUUUAUUCUGGGCUACCAUUAUUAUUUGGUUUCGCUUUGUCAAGUGUAUAGAACCUGUCAUACAUUCAUGAUAAGUAGCACUGAGAAAGUACUCACUCAAAAUUCCCCUGGGCACUUAUGGCAUAGUAUUGCCAAUUAGGAUUUGAAGGUCAGUGACGAUGCAUUUUCCCCCAAUACAGACCUCCCCUGCUGGACAUGGGGAUGGAGGGAGUUACUUGACCAUCCUGAAACACAUAAAUAAAAAGCCUUUAUGACUGUGUUUGCCAUUUUUUUAAUGGCAUAUAGUAUUUUGGUGAAGUUUUAGACCCCAUAAUUAAACAAGUCUCCAGGUUUCCUUAUGACUAGAUUUGAGGCCAAUUAAUACCCCAGAUCCAUGCAACUAUUGCACACUUGCUUCCACUACUAAAUAUACAGGGUAUCCUAGAAUGGAAUUAACUGGAAUAAUAGUACCUUACUUAGUAUCUAUGGAUCCUCAUACUGAAGGGUCAACAUAAAUGCUUAGGUAAUACCUACUGAAUAAAUUGGAGGAAACAGCAAGUCAACAGCAAAUAAUCUGCAGAUCACUUCAAAUGGGAAAAAUCUUUUUGUACAUUUGGAUACUAUGACAUCCUCUCUAUUCACCAGCUUCUGAAAAGGGAGGAGUGUUUUUAGUUGAAUAAUUUUAAAACAAGGCAUUUCCAGGCAGGAUAAAAUUGAAGCUAUUUGAUGCAGACCUUAUCUAAUUUUGCUUUAACCGGAAGUCGUAUAAUACUGUUGCUUUCUGUAAAUGUUGCAGGGUUUUAAACUUUACAAUUAUUUUUAAUAUUUUUGAUAUCUAGGAAUCUAGCGUUGCCAUAAAGGAAACUAAGUGCCCAUUAAAGAUUUAUUUGGUAUAAAUACUUUUUUGUUUUGUUUUAAAUGACAGUAAGCUACAAAUCAUGAUGCUAAUCUUAAAAACUUUCUAAAGAUGAAUUGUGUGGCAGUGAUUGUGUGAUCUGUUUGUGGAGAAUGUAUGAAAAGCUAUUAAUAUUCUAGAAUAGGUUAAUAAAUUGGCUAUGUUGUUCCAAUGAAUGUACAGCACUUCCAUUAACUUUUGAAAGCAACACAGCCUUAAACUCAACUCAAUGCUUUUGCUUUAUGACAUGGGGAAUGUUCUGUCAUCAAGAGUGUUUUUGGUUUUUUUUGCAGUGCUGGGGAUCAAACCCAGGGCCUCGCGCAUGGUAGUCAAGCGCUCUACCACUGAGCUACUCCCCAGCACAACAGUGUAUUCUCGUAACAGAAUUCUUUUGUAUCAUUCUCAUCUCUAUAGCCUUUCCAUCCAAGGUAUGAGUAUGAAGGUUUUUUGCUUCCUUUGUUUUCUUUUUAGAUUUUGUACAUUCCAUCUUUAUAGGUCCGUUUCAUAUGUUUUGUGUAUAGAACACUAAGUCUUGCGCUCUCUGACAUUGAUACUGAUAUAUUCUUAUCAUUUGUUACUUUAUGAAUCAAAAUGCUGACUGCCUAUUUAAAGAAUGAACGCUGUGCAUCAAAGUGUUUGUAUGUUCGUAGCUACAUACGUACCACAGUAUUUUGGAUGCUUUAGUCUACAAUAAAACUUUAAAUUAAUUCUGUCUUGAAACAUAGGAGAAACAAGACUCGUGUAUAUCUUUACCAUGCACAAAAAAUCUCAAAUCAUUAUAAUAAAGCUUGUUUUCUCCAUUUCUAGAGUGAAUGUUUAUUUAUUUAACAAAUUAUUUCCCUGAGAGAAGGGGACUAAAGGA